GGUUGAUGGAGUAGAGAGGGGCUUGUAAAAACACAGAAGAAGAGCUCAAAAAUUAGAUUAAUGUGAUCCCUCGAUCUCAGAAAGAUCGAUACGCUUGAUACUUGCCAACUAAAAGCAAGGUUUGACUCUGAAGAUGCAAUUCAGAUUGAUUUUAAAUGCUCUACUUUUUUUAGCUGCAUGGAUGAACUUGGUCCAAGCAAUCGGUGGACCUGGAAAUGACUGUCCAUGUGUUAUGGUGUCCAGUAAAAAUCUCCCUUAUACUAGGAUUAAGGAAUACACCAUUCAGAAGGAACAUGACUGUCGCUUUAGUCUAGUUGUGUUUCGGACAGUGGGUGGAAGGAUAAUUUGUGCCGACCCCAACAGCAAGUGGACAAAGAAUAUUAUCCGGAAGUUGGAGGCAAAGACAACAAUUCAACACUUCAGCCAUGCCACCACCAUCGGUAUCCAUGAAGUCGUGGAGAACCAUCACAACAGCACACAAACCUGAAAGGGAUAGAAAAUGAAGCAAGGCUAGAAGAGUAAUAACAUGAUGUAAUUUCAGCCUAUUCAAAUCACGAGCCUAACUGAAUAAUUGGAUGAUUGGUCCAGGCUCUUGCUACUCAGAGAUGCAUAUAGUAAAUCUUUGGUAAUCAGAAAACACACACAAAAAAUGUCACUUCAAAUUAAAUUUGAAAAUAAGCAAAUAAUGUAGAGCACAAGACACUUCAGUAUUUGAUAUGUUAUAAAACAUUUAUGCAAUUUCCACUUGGUGUCCAAGUCAUUAGGUUGCAAGUCAUUGCUUCAAUAAUGAAAAAAGCACAAUAAUUGUGGGAAACAAAAUCAUGUAUGGUAAAUCUGCAAUAUAUCCUAAUAAAGCUUUGUAGUGCUGAUAAUGUAUUACUAUUAGCUAUUAAUCUGGUAUGCAAAUAAAUAAUUUAUUGAA